ensembl:snRNA U6 U6 spliceosomal RNA
GUGCUCACUUCGGCAGCACAUACACUAAAAUUGGAACGAUACAGAGAAGAUUAGCAAGGCCCCUACACAAGGAUGGCACGCAAACUUGUGAAGCAUUCUAUAUUUUU